GCAGUGUGACCAUGCUCUGGUCUCUCUCUCUCUCCGCUCCCUCAAAAAGCACCGGAGCCUCUCAGGUGUCGCUUCUGCCAGUGGUUUCUCUUCUAGAGACGGGAGGAUUUAUACGGAAUAGCCAGUGCCUGGGGAUGGACCACACAUCUUUCAGAAGCUGAACCCACCUGAAGAUCAGUUGACAAGCAUCAUGGGCAUAUAGCAUAAUAAGAGCAUGGCAUCUGUUCCAGGAGCCCCAAUCAGUCUUCAGGAAGCAGAGAACAGUGAGAACAAAGGCAGCACGAUACAGCAGGAGCUGCCUCCCAAUCUUACAAACUCCCUCAGCUAUUGGCACCAUCUAUUUAAAUGAAUUAACAAAAUCACAUUCAUAUAGCACCUUUUAUGAUUUCUAGUGCUUUGCAACCAAUUAAGUUAUUCUUGAGGUGUAGUGACUGUAGUAACAUAAGAAGAUAGCUGGUGAUUUGCACACUGCAAAGUCCAAUAAAUAACAAUGAAAAUGACAAAAUAAGCUUCCUCUAAAUAUUAGCCAAGACAUCAUGUCCUUUUUUAUAAGUGUCAUACAGCACGGAAACAGACCCUUCAGUCCAAGUAGUCCAUGUUGAACAUAAUCCCAAAGAAAACUAGUACCACCUGUUUGCUCUUGGCCCAUAUCUUUCCAAACAUUUCUUAUUCAUACACUUAUCCAAAUGUCUUUUAAAUGUUGUAACUGUACCCACAUCCACCA